rnacentral:lncRNA from 1 species
UUUGUUUCCAGUUUUUGGAGAAAAAAAAUAAUUUGUUUUUGAUUCUGAGAAAAAAAAAUUGUUUGUUUCACCCUUAGCUGCCACUAUAUGUAAUGCUAAAAUUGAAAGAAAAAAAUUGUUUUCGACUUGUCGCGAAAAAAAUAGAUUGUUUUUCGCCGCAGGCGAAAAAAAAAUUUGUCCAGAAAAAAAAACCAUAGCCCCCCCC